rnacentral:rRNA from 1 species
AUUGAACGCUGGCGGCAGGCUUAACACAUGCAAGUCGAGCGAGCGGCGGACGGGUGAGUAAUGUCUGGGAAACUGCCUGAUGGAGGGGGAUAACUACUGGAAACGGUAGCUAAUACCGCAUACCAUCAGCGGUGCCCAGAUGGGAUUAGCUAGUAGGUGGGGUAAUGGCUCACCUAGGCGACGAUCCCUAGCUGGUCUGAGAGGAUGACCAGCCACACUGGAACUGAGACACGGUCCAGAUUCCGACGGGAGGCAACAGGGGGGAAUAUUGCACAUUGGGCGCAAGCCAGAUGCAGCCAUGCCGCGUGUGUGAAGAAGGCCUUCGGGGUGGAAAGCACUUUCAGCGAGGAGGAGUUACUCGCAGAAGAAGCACCGGCUAACUCCGUGCCAGCAGCCGCGGUAAUAC